rnacentral:lncRNA from 1 species
GGGAAACAAACGAACUUGAUGCACCAGGAAGAAGAAGAUUAAGAUGGGUUCAAAAAUAUUUCAUGAUUUAUAACUAUUGCACUGAUUUGAAACGUUUCCCUCAAGGUGUUCCACCAGAGUGUAAACGCCCAAGGUUCUAAAAUCAAACCUGUUCCACCAGAGUGUAAACGCCCAGGGUUCUAAAAUCAAACCUCUCCUCUUUUCCAUGUAAUAUAUUCUUUUUUCACUACUUUCUUACUAUGUAUUCAAGUUGCACUCAACUUGAUGCUUGGGGAUGGAUGGAAUAAGUUAUUAUUAUUAUUAUUCUUUUUAUGUAUUUUUAUUUCUCUUUGUUGCUUCUUAAAUCAUCUUGAAAAUAGAUGUAAAUUCCCUGUUUCUGACAAUAAAAUUUUCCUCUUUUUGAGUAUUUAAUAUUCAUUCAACUUCAAAGUAAUUCUUCCCCUACCACAGAGGUAAUCUCC